rnacentral:misc_RNA from 1 species
GUGAAUCAUCGAAUCUUUGAACGCAAAUUGCACUCUCUUCGUAGAGUAUGCCUGUUUGUGGGUGAGCCUAAAAAAAAUCGUCAUAGUUGCUGUUUCGCGGUGACAUUCGUCGGAAAUUGGGUCAUAUUAAACCUUGGGGUUUUUUAAGCGGCUAAAAAUUUUCUUUACGAUUCCACAAACUUAUCUAAGAUUUUACUUUUUACACACGUUUAAGGUAUCGAUCUUUAUUAAAAGUUGCCGUUGCAUCGGAUCGCGUCCAUAAAUAAUUCGUUAA